AGAGUUUGAUCCUGGCUCAGGAUGAACGCUGGCGGCGUGGAUAAGGCAUGCAAGUCUAAAGGUUUGGGCGCAAGUUCAAACCUUGGCAGACGAGGUAGUAAUACGCAGGUACGCACCCCUAAGUCGGGCAUAACUAGUCGAAAGAUUAGAUAAUUCUCGAUAGUCUCUCAAGUUAAUUCUUGGGAGUAAAGAUUUAUCGCUUAGGGAGCGGCCUGUGCGCUAUUAGCUAGUUGGUAGGGUAACGGCCUACCAAGGCGAAGAUGGCUAGGGGACCUGAGAGGGUGACCCCCACCGAUGGAACUGAGAUACGGUCCAUACACCUACGGGUGGCUGCAGUCGAGAAUCUUCCGCAAUGGACGAAAGUCUGACGGAGCGACGCCGCGUGGUAGAUGAAGUCUUUCGGGAUGUAAAUACCUUUUAUGGGGGACGAAGUUUAUUGACGGUACCCCAUGAAUAAGGAGUUGCUAAACUCGUGCCAGCAGCAGCGGUAAUACGAGUGCUCCAAGCGUUAUCCGGAAUCAUUGGGCGUAAAGGGUGUGUAGGCGGUUAUGUUAGUCUUGUGUCAAAUUCUUCGGCUUAACCGGGGGCUCGCACAAGAAACGGCAUAACUAGAGGAUGGGAGAGGUGUAUGGAACUCAUAGUGUAGGGGUGAAAUCCGUUGAUAUUAUGGGGAACACCAAAUGCGAAGGCAGUACACUGGCCCACUCCUGACGCUGAAACACGAAAGCGUGGGUAGCGAAUGGGAUUAGAUACCCCCGUAGUCC
rnacentral:rRNA from 1 species